rnacentral:rRNA from 1 species
GAUCCUGGCUCAGAACGAACGCUGGCGGCGCGUUUAAGCAUGCAAGUCGAGCGGCAAGGGCCUUCGGGCCCCUAGAGCGGCGGACGGGUGAGUAACACGUGGACAAUCUGCCCCCCGGCCCGGGAUAGCCCAGGGAAACCUGGAUUAAUACCGGAUGAGACGGGACCCGCGAUGGCGGGAUCCGGGAAAGGCGCUGCGGCGCCGCCGGGGGAUGAGUCUGCGUCCCAUUAGCUAGACGGCGGGGUAACGGCCCACCGUGGCGACGAUGGGUAGCCGGCCUGAGAGGGUGGACGGCCACAUUGGAACUGAGACACGGUCCAGACUCCUACGGGAGGCAGCAGCUAAGAAUCUUCCGCAAUGGGCGAAAGCCUGACGGAGCGACGCCGCGUGAACGAAGAAGGCCGUGAGGUUGUAAAGUUCUUUUCGGGAGGGGGAACAACCGUGGCAGGGAAUGGCCGCGGGAUGACGUGAAUCCCGGAAUAAGCCCCGGCUAACUACGUGCCAGCAGCAGC